CUCUCUGUUCUUCAUAAUUUUAAUGUGACAGCCAGACCUGUACCGUGGGUGAAUGAAGAGGUCGAGACUUUGUCUUUGGUGGCGGACCAAAGAAUACAGAGAGAGCUGGACGGAGAAAGUUUAUCAGGAGGUCUCUGAGCGGAUGGCCGCUCACAUAUACAGUAGACUGUAUAUAAAGAGGACAGAAGCAGUGUAGGGAGAAGCUGAAAAAGCUCAAAAGUGACUAUCGGUCCACCCAGGACCACAACGGCCGGCGUGGGUCAACCAGGAGGUGUUGGAAGAGGUUUAAUGGAAGCUAUUUACUGGCACCGCACCGGCGAGCAACAGGAGGGAGACUCAGCCGCUGCAUUGUUGGAGACGUUCGAGGACGGUGAGUGUUUUGUGACUUCAAGAAACUUAUACAUCAUUUAUUCCAUUGGUGGCAAGCCUCUUUUAAGCAAACAAGUAUUUUUUAGAAAGUAACGUCGCUGUCUCCUGUAGCAGACAAUAAGAUAGCUAGUUAGCCAUCAGCGCUAGCCAGUUAGCCAUCGGCGCUAGCUAGUUAGCCAUCGGCGCUAGCCAGUUAGCCAUCGGCGCUAACUCCGUGUUCUGCUUGUAUUUCGUACUGCUGUUUCUAACGUUUAGCUCUCAGAAGCUAAUACUUCAGUCAGCAUGCCGUGUUUUUCUUGUACUUAGGGUGAGUGUUUAUUUCUGUUCAAGAAUCCCUUUCCACAUGCGAAGCCUACUCCACCUCCGUCGCGGAGCCCCCGGCUCCCCUGCCUCCUCUCCACCAGCUGCAGCGGCUCCUCUCCAGCACCAGCUCGGACACCGACACCAGCACGUCACAGCAACGUCUUAUCACCGGCAAGAGGAAAAGGGGCAACAGAAAAUUGGACCUUCCUAGCGUACUUGUGGAGAUGCAGGCUGAGGAGGAGUGGAGUCAUGCCCAGCAUGAUGAGAACAUCUGGUUGCUCCUCAGCGAGGCAAGAGAGAAUGAAGCUGCCUUGCAGCGGGAGGAGAUGGCCCAGAAUACUGCCUUCAACCAGUCAUUCCUGGGUGUGCUGGGGUAGCUGGGUAGGCAGUGGGCAGCCGGCGAGUGUGAGCGAGUCCACCUCCCAUAGACUUGAG
ensembl:lncRNA